rnacentral:lncRNA from 1 species
UGUCCCAGGAUAGCUCAGAGAAGUGCUGCUUUCCAAGGGUUUGGCCAGGGCGACUUGAUUUAUUUUCAGCAAAAUCUGGGAUUGGAAUUGAGUGUGGCUUGACGCAACUGCAAAACAGAACAAAUCUGGAAACUCUGGCAGGCAGAAGAGGAGAGUGGAGGGAGCACGUUUCUUUGAGUUUGGGAAGGGAGGCUGAGAGGAGUCUGGGAAACUUCCUGGCACCCAACUCCCUCCAGAACCCCUGAAGGGACUUUCUACAACAGCAGAGGGAUGGCCCUUCUGUCUCUACAGCACUGACCGAGCACUACAGUAUCGAACAGCACUGGGCACAGACUAGGUCCUGGGUAAAUAUUUGGUGUGUUGAUUAAUAAUAUGAGAAUGUUCUGAGGUCAAACACUUCCUUCCAUGUUUUGGGAACAGUGAGGUCUUGCAUAGAGCUUUAAAAACUCCACACCCAGCUUCACAUUAAAGUGGAAAGCCAGCACACUUGUGAUGUUCUGAGCUAUUCUAAAUAGCAGCCCUCCCUGGGUCUCUGAAUUCUUCUGAACCUAGUAGUGCCACUGCCUUGGGCAGUUUUGUGGAAAUGCCUCUUCCCAUUCAGCUUUGCCCAGACCAUUCUAUCCUGAUGUUAUUCCCAUGGCUGGCACUCCAAUGUGUCCUAAACCUGUCCGGUUUCUAGAAAUAUGACAAACAUUACCUCUAUUUAUCCCUUUCUUCUGUUCUUACUGACACUGAGCUUGCAGGAUGGCAGUAUUAAAAUACACCAGCAGACUUCUGGCAGGUGGUUGUAAACAUCUUUUGGAGUUCCUUCCCAGUCUAUGACACCAUUUCUCAAGGAAUCAUCCCCCUCUCCACAAAAGGGAAGGCCAAGUAACCGAGCAUCCACCAUGACUCUUCCACUUUGGCCAUAGAUUGCAUCAGAGUUCUCACUGACCCAAGCUGGACAAUCAAUAUCUUUCUCUUGGGAAUUUGGAAUUGGACUUAAAGAAAUGGAUAACUAGAGAUCAGCGUCUGUGUUUGGCUCAGACAUGAAUUUUGGAGCCAUGGUGGCCAUACGCAGGGAGAAUCAGAACAAGUCAGUGUGUAGAGAAAACCAAAAGGCAAUGCCAAAGAAUGAACCGAGUCAAAAGAGGCAGGGCUACAUCUGCUAUUGACUUCUGAGGAUGACUUUGCAUCUUUACAGUAAGUUCUUGUUUAUUGAUUAGCCAAACUUUGCUGGCUUUGAUGCUUGUAACCAAAAAGACUUUAAAAAGACAUGAAUAAGUUUUGCCAUGGAUUUCUGUAGCCCCAAUCCACUCUGCAUGCCUAACCCUAGUCUCUUUCAGAUGCCACCACUCUAAGUCUGGCAGGGCUCCCAACUGCCUAUGAUGUCAUGACCAUGACCCCUUACUAGCUCUCAGGGCACUCCCCAAACUAUCCUGCCCACUCGUCCAAAAUAAUUAUUCUUUCCUCCUGUGAUGUGCUCCUUUGCUUGAGUCUAAUCAUGCUCUCUCUACUCUAAACACACUUCCCUGGCUCUCUUCCUCCUGUUUCCCUGGACGGCUUCCCAGGCCUGGAAUGGUCUACCCUCUCCUCCCGGCCAUACAAAUACAUGUAGAUUGGACAGUAGAUGUAUUUUCUUGUCUGCAAAUGGAAUGGUUUCUAUCUGAUGUCCUAUGUUAAGGAACAGAAAUUAUCACAGUGGAAAAAAAAAAGCCUAUUGGUGGGGCACAGCACCUCCAGCCACUUGGCUUUGGUGAGCCUGAUACAGUAUCUGGCCCCUGCUAAUAUUUGUAUUUAUGUAAUGAAAGAUUUACCCAAUUAAAAUAGAUCUGAACUACAAAGGAAAUGCUGCACUAAAAUGUGUUCUUGGCUCAUACAAGGAGAAAGAUUCUCCUUCACGGAGGAAGACUUGAAGGGUAUCCAGCCCUAGGGAAGUGAACUAGGUCAUGCCAGUGUUCUCCCAGGCAUAAAGGGUAGGCUCGAUUUUGUGAUAAAUACACAGUAUAUGAUGAUUCACCUGACUUACUUCUCUAUUUGAUAUCAGUAAAUGAUAACAAUGAAAGUGCUUGUGUUGGGGGGAAAGUGCAAUGAAUGCACGGCCGCUUCACCAUCUGAUGAAAGUAUAACCAGGGAGAUGCCUCAGACGCUAAGGGCUCUUGGUGAGGGGCCCAACAGGAAGAGAGAAGUGCUACUUUCAGACAGAACGGGACCGAGCAUUUCAGGAUCCACAGAGCCGUGUCAUAAAAUAUUUCACACGAUAUGUAUGACAAGAAGCCUGAAGAAGCUAUGAAUUUCCAGAUUGAUGUGAAAGAAAUCCACUCUGUACCUUGUGCCACACAAACAUUUAAGUCAAUCAUUAUUGAGCAUCAACUGGGUGUAUUCUAGCCCCGGGUUUUAUCUUUUUUUUUUAACCUUCCUUGUGGUUGCUUUGUCAUAUUCUUUUUCUUUUAUAAGAAGCACUGUUUGGUAAUAGCCACAAGAAUUGUGGGGGUGGGGAGACCAUUUUUACUAAGAGAUAGGGUUGUAUCCUGCAUAGGCAACAUAAGGAAUGGUAGCAAUUUUUUUAAGAGGCUACACAUGUGGAAAGGCCUCCCAUUGCUUUAUCCUCUCCACUGGAUCUCUCCUGUAUUCCUUCUGCCUUCCUGU